UGAAGUAGUACCUGAGGUGGCAAAUUCAUAAAUCGGGAACAACAGGUAGCAGAAAGGAUCAAAAUGGGAGUAGAAUUGUAAUUUUUUGCAUGGAGUUAGCAAGAACAGGGUUAAAACAAUCACAAUGGAGAAUUAGGAGAAUGCCCUCAAAUCUAAUAUCAGAUAAAAUAUGUAUUCAAUACACAAUAAAUGCAUCAAAUCAAUCGUUUUCACUGGAAGGAAACUCCAGCUUUAUAUGUAAAUUCAGUUAUAUAGGUGUGUAUUAAAAAUAAAGUUUGGUACCUGCUAGUGCUUUAUCGUCAGAAAAAGUGUGCUGGGGGAACUCGGAAAGCAGAAGCAGGAGCUGAUUAGCAGGAUGCUGUGUCCUAAUUUAUUCAAGCACUGGGUAACACCUCUGGAGCUGUUAAAAGAUCUCAGAGUCUCGAGUGGUUUUACUGUCUCAUAUCUCUUUUCCAGAACCUCUUUUCUCAUGGGUGCCACACAAGCUGAGCAUCACAGAGGUGCGAGUCCAAGCGUAGUGAAGGUCACCAAAACCAAGAGUGCAGAGUCCUUUUGCUGCAAAAAGUGAUGAACGAAGCACCAGUAGCUGCACCAAGCUGGGAAAGGAAACAAGAGGAAGAAGAUAAAAGAGACAACAAUGGCUGAAAUAGUACCAGAUAUAUUUGUACAAAAGUUUAUACCAUCCAUAUGGCGAUGCUACAGUAUUACUGUUAUUUGCAUUGUACCUGUAGGUUUCAGCUGAGAUCCUGCUGUGUUGGCUGUUAUAAAAGCACAUAGAAAUGCAAUCUGUAUUGAAAAUAUUCUGAACAUUUGAGACAAAGAGGGUUCAGAAGAAAAGCAGGUGCCUAACAUACCUUAUAUUCUGUUUUCGAUUGUGGUACUGAUCUGGUUUUGAUUGUGGUCUGACUGCUGGCCAGAAACAAUAUAUUUUAAAUAUCUAUUUAUAUAUAAAAUGGUUCACCCGAUGUCAGAAUUCAGAUCUAUGGCAGAACCAGAAAUAGGUCCAGGUCACCUGGUAAACAAGUUUAUUUCCUUAUCCUGAGGUUAACUCAUUAUAUAUAAUGUAGUGAUAAAUUAGCUGAAUGAAAUCCUCUUCAACUUCCCUUCCUUGUAACUAUUUCGUGACAUUAAUUGUGUUUCCACAUUAUCUGACCUUCCGUAUUUAUUCCAGUAUAUUAACAAUCUUCCCAGAGAAUUUAAUCUCUGCCCCACAGGACAUGCUGUUAAGAAAUGGCAAAUUAAAAGAACUUGGUACCAGCUGUCUGAUCUUACAUCAAAUGCAUCCUCUAACUCAUAAUGCCAUAAAUUAAAAAAAAAAAAAAUCACUGGUGUGAAUUACUUAUGUCUUUCAAGCCUGCUGCCAUCAUAAGUGAAAUUUGGAUGGAACACAGUCAAAAUCAAAAGUAGUGAAGACAUUCCACCCUUCUCUGAGCUUCUAUUACAAUCUCUGAUCCAAGAGAAUCGGGACAUUUUAAUGUAGCAUUUGUCUCUUUUUGUAUUUAAGAAAAUAUGAAAAAUAGCUUUGCUUUUCACGUGAAAUAGGCAAUAUGUUUAAUAGUCUAAUGCAUCUUAUCAUAAGCUACUGUUGUGUGUCACUGGUCUUUUGGUAUGCUAUUGCCAGAUAUUAUACUCUCACAUCCAGAAUGUGGAUGAAACUCACUCCCUGACUACCUGGAAUAUAUUGGAAAAUGAGUAAACACAAAGGGUUUCUGUGUACAUUGUCUGGAAAUGGGAGGUAAUAAAGCACCAAGGGCAUGGCAAAAAUGCUAUUUCUGCAUUCCUUUUGCAAAGCUGCUUUCCCUCUGUUGGGGAAAAGAGAAGCUGCCUCGAGAGGAGCCUAACCUCAAAACUGGAGUGGAGCUCUGCUGUCUUACAGAGCCAGACGAGCCAAUGCACAGCGGGAGCUCCUGCUUCAGAAACAAGAAAGGGUAUUUGGUACAAUGAUAGGCACCAACAUCUUAUUUGUAGUCACUCAUUCAAGCUGGGUAUCUCAGAUGGAGCUGAGCUGUGGGCAGGAGAGGAGAUGUCACGAAUAAAGCUUUUGACACUUGUUUCUUAAGGAAAUUCCUGAUUUUUCCAGUCUUCCUUUUGCUUUCCAUUUGGAAGAUCAAGAUGUAAUAUUUUGCUUGGUAUUUCACAUUUGCAAGUCAAAUCAAACACACAGAAAAGUUUUUGCUUUAAAUUGAGUCUGCUUCAGUAUUGGGCUUUGUGAGCCAGGGGGUUACCACACAAACUGGGAUUAAGGAAGAUUUUGCAGUGGUCUCUGGGAAUGAUACUUCCUGAGCUUAUUCAUUUGCAAUCAAAACCCUAUCAUGUAUGCAUUUUGUCAUGACUUUGUUGUCAGUGAUACAGCAAUGAUUGGUACGAGGUUUUCUCUGCUUUUCAGGAAAAUUUUUAACCUAAAAAAUUAUUAAUUUUUUCUCUGUUUUCCUCACAACUUUAAGAAUGUCGUAAAUGGGCACUAUUUGUUAAUGGGCUUUUCUGUACUUAUUGCUCUCUCUGUCCUCAAAAUAAGUCUGUAAUGAGAGUCACUGCUGUUGCUGUGUUGCUGUAACUCAUUAUCCACAGAUGGAAAUGAGAACUGACCAUGGCACAAGAUGAAUCUGUUCAUAUCCCAGCACCACCAACUGUAACACGAAUGGAAGACGGCAACAUAUUUGCUCAUUCAGGCUGUGACAGGAAUGAGAAAUGGGACAAGGGCAGCUCUGUUUCCUUCUAGGGCUAUGCUUUGAAAUGUUUUGAGUCCUGAAAAUCUCCAACAGCUGGUUUAUACAGCUUUUUUCUACUUGCCCAUCUUUUUAACAAAAAUAUUAACCAGAGGAUAAACUAAAUACACUUUUCUUUUCACUAGGACUUGAUCCUACAAGCAACCAGCAAACUGCUUGUAAAAACAGUGAAGGUGACAGACAGUUAACAGAAAAGACACCCAGAACAUGAGAAUCAUUCAGAAACAAUCUGUAAAGCUUCCCCAUCUUCUCACCAAUGUAAUGUUGGCAAAGAAGUGUAUUGGUCAUGUUUACGGUAAGAAUAUUCAAAGAUGGAUUGAAAAAAAGCCUGUUCUUGGUCCAUUGUGUGAACACUAUUGUAAGGAUUUUUGUUUGUCUGCACCAUCCCUAGAUCAUUAAAUUCCAGUUUGAAAAUUUCCCUGAGAAGCCAUGCCUUUGGAACAUAUUUAUGUUGCUGAUUUAUAGUUGCAGCUACUUCCAAAGUGAUGUCCUAGGUUUUUUUGUUCCUUGGCCACCAUCAUAGCAUAUGCCAAUACUUGGUGGCAGUCCUAUCCACGUACCUCAGCUCUGUUCCCUUCAUAUACUGUGUGUUUCUGUGUUCUUUCAAAAGCAUUACAUAAAAUGAGUCAAUAAAAAGGCAUAUGAUAAUAAGCA